GGCGCUGGGCUCCCCACAAGCAAGCUUGCUGGAGCAGAGGGCCAGCAGGGUGCAGAGGCAUCAGGACACAUUCUGGCCUUCGAAUCCUGCUGAAGCAAGACAGGGCUCCAGCUGGUACCUCUUGCUCACCCUCUGUCUCCAGCUGUUCACCACCUUGUAGGGAAGAAAAGCCAGUUGCCACCCACUGUGCAGAGAAAUUGAGAAGAAGGGGGAACAGAGAAGGAGAAAGAGACAGCGACGCCUGCAGCCCUGCUUCACUGCUUGUGAAGCUUUCCUCCUGCAGGGGGCUAGGUGGUGGCACAUCCAGUUAAGUGUACAUAGUACUAAGCACAAGAAGCUGUGCAAGGAUCCUGGUUCAAGUCUCCUGCUCCUUAGCUACAGGGGGGAUGCUUCACAAGCCAUGAAGCAGGUCUGCAGUAUGGACUGGGACUUUGGGCUAUGGGCUUGCCAGCAGGAGGCUUUACCAGAUCAACUAGGAAAAACAACUUGACAACUCAACGAAACGCAACUAGGAUCCUUCAAAAACUCACCAGGCCACAGGUGAGUACAGACAAGGA